GCCUAACACAUGCAAGUCGAACGGUAACAGGAAGCAGCUUGCUGCCUCGCUGACGAGUGGCGGACGGGAACUCAAAGGAGACUGCCAGUGAUAAACUGGAGGAAGGUGGGGAUGACGUCAAGUCAUCAUGGCCCUUACGACCAGGGCUACACACGUGCUACAAUGGCGCAUACAAAGAGAAGCGACCUCGCGAGAGCAAGCGGACCUCAUAAAGUGCGUCGUAGUCCGGAUUGGAGUCUGCAACUCGACUCCAUGAAGUCGGAAUCGCUAGUAAUCGUGGAUCAGAAUGCCACGGUGAAUACGUUCCCGGGCCUUGUACACACCGCC
rnacentral:rRNA from 1 species